rnacentral:snoRNA from 1 species
GACAUCUGUAAUAAUCUCAACAAUAAAGAUUUUAAAAAAAGAAUUUGGAGGGACAGUGUUCAAAGGACAGUGCGAUAUAAAUUCAGUAUCUGGCAUCAUUGGUUUUUGUAGUUUCGUGCAUGUUAAACCUGGUGUGUGUUUUUUAACUGAU